AUGGACUACAAAAGUUUUGUGGAAAUCAACUAUAAUCAAACACGUUACAUACAGACUGGAAACGACCAAACUGUAAGUUGGCUCCCAUUUAAAAUAGUUCUGAGUUGUAUAGAUACAGCUACUGUGUCUGCAGUCAUCCUCAGUGAUGCUUGUUUCACGGCAGGUUCCUGGACUAGUUUCAGACUUCCAUCGGAUUCAGGUAAUCCACUGGUUUUAUUCUCAAUUUAACUUGUUUGAAUGGAUGACGAAGGGCAUGCCUUUAAGACAAGGGUGCACCCAACAAUCCCCACACUCACUACA
rnacentral:lncRNA from 1 species